rnacentral:lncRNA from 1 species
AUGAGAACUCUAUCAAAGAAACUUGCUGCAAAGAUUUCUUUCUCCCAGUUGUUUCACUUUAUCAUAUUUGUACAAAUUUUUUUUUUAAAAAACACACACAUAACCCUUAUCUUCUGUCUCAAAAUCAAUACUGCAUAUUGGCUCCAAGGCAGAAGAGUGAUAAGGGCUAGACAAUGGGAGUUAAGUGACUUGCCCAGGAUCACACAAGCUAGAAAGUGUCUGAGGCCAAAUUUGAACCCAGGACCUCCCAUCUCUAGGCCUGACUCUCAAUCCACUGAGCCACCCAGCUGCCUCUGCUUUUUUCUAAUUAUUGAUAAUUUAUUUUUUCCUGUGGCUAUUUUGAUAACUUGGAUUUCUUCCUCUAAACAUUGCCUAUUUGUAUUCUUUAGCCAUUUAUCAUUUGGGGAGUGGCUCUUAUUUUUAUAAAUUUGAAUCAGUUAUCUAUCUACAAAUAUGGUCUUUAUUGAAGAAAUGUAAUGCAAAGAUUUCUUCCCCUCCACCCAUUUACUUGCUUAUCUUCCAAUUUUACUUCCUUUUUUUUGUUUUUGUUAAAACAUCUUAAACUUUAUGUAGCAAAAAUUGUACAUUUUACUUUCUAUGAACCUCUCUAUUUCUUGUUUGGUCAUGAACUCUUCUCUCCAUGUAUCUUAUAGGUAAAUUCUUCUAUGCUCCUCUAAUUUGUUUAUAAUGUCAUUUUUAUGUCGAAAUCAUGUACCCAUUUGAGGCUUAUAUUGAUAAAUGGUAUGAGAUGUUUAUCUAAACCUAAUUUCUAUCACACUGCUUUUCAGUUUUCCUAACAGUUUUUGUAAAAUAGUGAAUUCUUGCCUAACUAGUUGGCAUCUUUCGGUUUAUCAAACAUUACAUUACUGGGCUCAUUUACUUCUAUAUAUUAUGUGCCUAAUCUAUUUCACUAAUUCUUUUAUGAUUAUAGCUUUGUAGUAAGUAGAGUUUGAGAUCUGUUACUGCUGUCUUCCUAUAAUAAAUACUCUUCCCAUUUUCUCA